rnacentral:rRNA from 1 species
AUUGAACGCUGGCGGCAUGCCUUACACAUGCAAGUCGAACGGUAACGCGGGGCAACCUGGCGACGAGUGGCGAACGGGUGAGUAAUGUAUCGGAACGUGCCCAGUUGUGGGGGAUAACUGCUCGAAAGAGCAGCUAAUACCGCAUACGACCUGAGGGUGAAAGCGGGGGAUCGCAAGACCUCGCGCAGUUGGAGCGGCCGAUAUCAGAUUAGGUAGUUGGUGGGGUAAAGGCUCACCAAGCCAACGAUCUGUAGCUGGUCUGAGAGGACGACCAGCAACACUGGGACUGAGACACGGCCCAGACUCCUACGGGAGGCAGCAGUGGGGAAUUUUGGACAAUGGGCGCAAGCCUGAUCCAGCCAUGCCGCGUGCGGGAAGAAGGCCUUCGGGUUGUAAACCGCUUUUGUCAGGGAAGAAAAGACUCCUGUUAAUACCGGGGGUUCAUGACGGUACCUGAAGAAUAAGCACCGGCUAACUACGUGCCAGCCGCCGCCGUAA